UACGUAGGUGGCAAGCGUUAUCCGGAAUUAUUGGGCGUAAAGCGCGCGCAGGUGGUUUCUUAAGUCUGAUGUGAAAGCCCACGGCUCAACCGUGGAGGGUCAUUGGAAACUGGGAGACUUGAGUGCGGAAGAGGAAAGUGGAAUUCCAUGUGUAGCGGUGAAAUGCGUAGAGAUAUGGAGGAACACCAGUGGCGAAGGCGACUUUCUGGUCUGUAACUGACACUGAGGCGCGAAAGCGUGGGGAGCAAACAGGAUUAGAUACCCUGGUAGUCC
rnacentral:rRNA from 1 species